rnacentral:rRNA from 1 species
UACGGAGGGGGCGAGCGUUGUUCGGAAUCACUGGGUGUAAAGGGUGCGUAGGCGGUCCGAUAAGUCUGAUGUGAAAGCCCUGGGCUCAACUCAGGAACUGCAUUGGAAACUGACGGACUGGAGUACCGGAGAGGAAUGCGGAAUUCCGGGUGUAGCGGUGAAAUGCGUAGAUAUCUGGAGGAACACCGGUGGCGAAGGCGGCAUUCUGGACUGCAACUGACACUGAGGAACGAAAGCCAGGGGAGCAAACGGG